CACGGGCUAAGGUCGCGCAGGCGACCGGUACCGAUUUUCAUCACGCAGUAAGAGAUAAAGCCCAGCGCGAUACCUUC
rnacentral:tRNA from 1 species